UGGGAUGUAGCCAAGCGGUAAGGCACAGGACUUUGACUCCUGCAUUCGUAGGUUCGAAUCCUGCCAUCCCAG
rnacentral:tRNA from 1 species